rnacentral:rRNA from 1 species
UACGGGGGGGGCAAGCGUUGUUCGGAAUUACUGGGCGUAAAGGGUUCGUAGGUGGCCAACUAAGUCAGACGUGAAAUCCCUCAGCUUAACUGGGGAACUGCGUCUGAUACUGGAUGGCUUGAGUGCAGGAGAGGAACGCGGAAUUCCAGGUGUAGCGGUGAAAUGCGUAGAUAUCUGGAGGAACACCGGUGGCGAAGGCGGCGUUCUGGACUGUAACUGACACUGAGGAACGAAAGCCAGGGGAGCAAACGGG